rnacentral:lncRNA from 1 species
AGAAGAGAGAAGCAAACUGGACAGGAUUCAUGGAUUUCGAAGGAAGCAGAGCUAGGUCGAAGUUGAUUUGAAGUUUUCCGUCGUAUUUCUAGCGUUAAUCUCCGAAUAUAACAGAGGUAAUACGUUCUUCUUCCUCUUUCCUUCCGAUCUGCUUGGUUCGUGUUUGUUUGAAAACAUUUGUGAAAAGUUUUUGUUGAUGAAGCUUUUUCUAGAUCUAGUGUUUAUGUGAUUUGUUUUCAAAACUUUGAGUGUGGAUUCGUUUAGAGAAGAGAAAGAGGAGCAGUUUGGAGUAUUUGUUUUCGAAAAAGAAGUAAAAAAAAACUCCGACGCGGCGGCGGCAUGGACAACCACCGCACCGGAGGAACUCCGGCCGCCUCCUUCAUCUUCUCCGAUGAACUUUUUUUUUUUUUUUUUUAGAGAGAAGGAGGAGAAAAUUUCUUUAGAGAGAGAAAGUCUUGUGUGUUGUGUUUUUUUUGUUAAGGAAUUUGCUUCUAUAAUGCUUUUUGUUUGGUCUGUUCUUAUGCACGCUUGUCCAUGGAGCUUCAUGUGACCUCAAGACUAGACCGUCAGAUCUCAGAUCUGACGAUCGAGGAUGCUCUUGGGAGGAUUCACGUGUUGUUUGGCUCCUACGGACUACUGUGUUGAUUUCUGUUUGAACCGUCAGAUCGUUGAUCUGACGGUCUCUGUGCUUUCUGUGUUUGUUUCUCUAUUUUUGUGCUGAUUUUUCAACCCUUGGAUCUUUGAUCCUGUGGCUAGGAUGAGAUCUUGGGAUUCAGAUCUGGACCUCUGGAUUCAUCCAACGGUCCAGAUUAGAUCCUGCUGAGCCAAUAUAUUUUUUUUAUUUCUUAUUUUUAAUUGUCUUUAUUUUUAAAUACUGUUUUUUUUUACAUUUUUUUUACAUUUUUGUGUUUAGAAAAAUUUCCAAAAAUAUUGUUCUCACCAUUUUAAUUUUCUCUAAUUUUAAAAAUCCAUCCUAUUUGUUUUCUUUUGAAUUUUUUUUGUUUAUUUCUUAUAUGAUGAUCUUAAUUGUUGCUUGUCUUAAUUACGUGCUUUUUAUUACUUAUGUCUCAUUCACCAUGAUAUUUCUUAUGUUACUAACAAUUUAAUUUUUGUCUUGAAUCAUAGCAUGCACAUUUAAUUUUCUCAUCAUUUUGUUUUGUCAUUGAUUUAGUGUGUAUAAAUAGGGAAUUGAUGUAAUUUCAUUUCUUGCAUUUUUAUUUUGGCAUAAAGGCCUUGGGGUUGUAUUUAGGAAUUGAUGUAAUAAUGUAGGUAACACGAGCACCGAAACUUGCACCAACACUACCACAAUUUAUUUACCGCUUUCCGCUCGUUUUUACGACGUUACGUUAGUUUUCACCGUUAGUUUAGAAAAAUCAUUUUUCUCAAAAAAUCAAAUAUGCAAAACUUCAAAAUCAUUUUCUUAAUAAUUUUUUUUCCUUUAUUUCUUAAUCAAACUUUCAAUUAACCUCACUCAUUUCUUUUAUCUCAUGCCUUGAGGCCUCUUUCUCUUCUUAAAACCAUUUUCAAAAAUCUUAAAAUCAACCUAACCCACCAAAGAAAUUUUUUAGUGGAACUACGUCGGUUUUGAUCCCUUUCCCAAAAAGGGUACGUAGGCAGAGGACUUGUCCUUCCAAAUCAAAUAAAAAUAACCAAAAACAUACUCCUUCUCCCUCCAUUCUUUCACUUAGAUUUUUAGGUAAUAAUUUUUCAAGUAAGCCAAAUGAAUUUAGCACAAGAUAAUCUAGGUAAGCGGUUCCUUCGGAGUACCGAAGUCGUUUAGGGUGCUUAACACCUUCCCUAUUCGAAACCAACCCCCGAAUCCAAAGUCUCGAUAAGGGUUUUUACUCAUUUUUUCCCUUCCCACGAAUAAAAAAUUGAGAGUUCAAAGAUUUACGAUUCAAAUCAAUCAAUGGUUUGAUAUCCGAAAAUCGGGGAGCACAGAAUGGCGACUCCACUGGGGACUUAGAUCCUACACGGGUUAAACCCACCUUACUUUCUUUAUUUUGUGCUUUAUUAUUUGUUUACGCUUUGUAAAUAUUUUCUUACAUGUUUACGUGAGUGGUGAGGUAAGCUCUACACCCGAGCUUGAGGGAAACUUAAGAUAGGACGGUGGUAUAAUCAUAGUUCCAUGCCAAGAGUACUCUUCGGUAUUGGCACAUGUGAUAACCCCACUCAACGGAGGGAUCUUGGAAGUAUAUGUUGUCAACGUGAGUACUCAUGUUUGGCAUGCUAUUUUCAAGUGACCUUUGAAGUUGAGGACCGUUAGUCACCUUUAACCCAUCUUGGCCUUUUAGGACGUAGUGCGGUGGCUAAUCGAGAGUACUCUUGAAUUAGUUGAUACGCGAUACUACACCCAAACGAGACUUUCCGACGAAUAUAAUUGGAAUGGGAGUACUCCCGUCACCCGAUAAAUAUUCGGAAGUGGUUAAAGACUUUGGGAACUUAGUAGAACCCUUGUUACAAGUGCAAUUUAAAACCUUAGUCCUUACCAAAUGGCGUUGUUACCCUUUGACUCCAACAUCCUAUGUGCUUUAGUAUUAUCAUGCAUACAUGCAUCCAUUCAUAAAUAUUUUUUCCAUUCAUCAAAAAAAAUUUUGAAGGACUUAUAAAAGCUUUGUUGUAAACAUUGUAGAUAUGAGGAGCCUUAGGCAGUAUAGUUUCAGGAAGCCAGAUCUCUUGAGUUUGAGGAAGCUAGGGAAGAAAGUGGUUUGUAUGGACGAUUUCUACAAGCAACAUGGAAAUUUGAUGGGUGUUGUUAAGACAGAUAUUGACGAAGGGAUUCUCAACGCUUUUGUUCAGUUCUAUGACCCGGGCUACCAUUGCUUUACUUUUCAAGAUUACCAGAUCCUUCCCACCUUGGAGGAGUACUCUUGUUGGAUUAAUCUACCAGUGUUGGACAAAGUACCUUUCAGUGGCCUCGAGGAAACUCCCAAGCACUCAACCAUUGCCACAGCCCUCCAUCUUGAAACGGACGAAGUGAAAGCACAUCUCAUCACUAGGGGGAAAUUUUUGGGUUUCUCCACCGAUUUCCUUUACGAAAGGACUACAUUCUUUGACAAAAUGGGGGUUGCCUAUGCUUUUAACUCCAUCCUUGCCUUGCUAAUUUAUGGCCUCGUACUCUUCCCUAGCCUCGACAACUUUGUGGACAUCAAGGCUAUCCAAAUUUUCUUGUCAAGGAACCCUGUCCCUACCUUAUUAGGUGAUACCUAUCUUUCCAUCCAUAGACGCACUCAAGCUGGUCGUGGAACUAUCCUUUGUUGUGCACAAUUGCUAUAUCGGUGGAUCACCUCUCACGCUUCACCACCAAUCCAGAAAACCUUCUUUGGUCAAAAAGACUCAUGUCCCUUACUCCAGCCGAGGUAGUGUGGUACGAUCGGGUUUAUGACAAAGGAACCAUUAUUGACAGUUGUGGGAAAUUCUCCAAUGUACCACUUCUUGGGUUGGAAGGAGGAAUUAGCUACAAUCCUACACUUGCCCGACGCCAGUUCGGAUAUCCCAUGGAAGGGAAACCUCUCAGCAUCUAUCUAGAGAAUGUAUAUUACCUCAACAUAGAUGACAGUAAAGGCAUGAGGGAGCAGGUUGUGCGAGCUUGGCACACCAUUCGUAGAAGAGACAAAGGCCAGUUAGGGAAGAAAACAGGUGCCGUUCAUGAAUCAUACACUCAGUGGGUGAUAGAUAGAGCUGUCCAAAUUGGGAUGCCUUACAAGAUAUCAAGAUUUGUAUCUGCAAUCACUCCAGCACCACCCCUACCUAUGACCUUUGACACCGAGAAAGAAUACCAAGAGCGUUUAGCUGAAGUGGAACGUGAAGUACAUAGGUGGAAAAGAGAGUAUCAGAAAAAGGAUCAGGAGUAUGAGGCUGUAAUGGUCCUACUAGAGCAAGAAGCCUAUGAUAGCCACAAGAAAGAUAUGGUAAUCGCCCAACUGAGAAAAAGUAUCAAGGAGAAAGAUGCCGCACUUGAUCAAAUUCCCGGGCGGAAGAAGAAACGCAUGGAUCUCUUUGAUAGGCCGCAUUCCGAUUUUGAGGAUUAGUUCGCUUCAGAGGCUUGAGAGUCUUUUCAGUUUGUUUUUGAUGUUUUUUUAGUUAUGGAGUCUAUCCCUUGGCUCAUUUUGUUUAAAGGGAAUUAUCUUGUUUUAUUUUGAAAGUUUAUCCCUUGGCUUUGUUGUUAGAAAGGGAAUUAUCUUGUUUUACUUUGAAAGUCUAUCCCUUGGCUUUGUUGUUAGAAAGGGAAUUAUCUUGUUUUACUUUGAAAGUCUAUCUCUUGGCUUUGUUGUUAGAAAGGGAAUUAUCUUGUAAUCAACUUUGUUUUUUUAUGAUUUGUUUAGGUUGGUAUGUUUACAAAAUUGCUUCUAUAGGUCCUUCGAUAAAAAGAUAUAUAAAAAUUGCAUAUUUUGGCAUAUAGCAUAUCAUGCAUCAUAUUGCAUUCAUAAAAAGUGUCAAAAUCAAGUCUCAUACUCUCCUCAUUUCUGCCUCAGAGAAGCAAAGUGGCCCGGCAUAUUCAGUACAAACCCACUCGCAUUCACAACACUCGAGCCCAUAUCAAGAAGAGGAUGUUAGCAGCAGAACAGGAAAACGCUCAGCUCAGAGAGGAACUGGUUAACCUCAAGGGAGAGAUGGAAAGAAUGGCAAUUAUGAUGGAAACUAUGAUGGCUGAGAGAGAGCAAGCAGCAAUCUCCAAUUCAACUCCUGUUGUGGUCGUCACAGUUGCACCUGAGGGUCCCCCGCAACCAUCUCCGACUACUACUACAACUAUCGGCCUCACCCAGCCUCUGAUGACUGAUUUUUCUUCUGGUAAUAUGGCAACUAUGGGUAACUCAGGCUUCCGUCCUCUUGGCCCCCAGGGUCUCUUUUCUACUCCUCAGUAUUCCAUGCCUCCAGGCUACCCUUGGGGCAUGCCGCUUGCAGCUAAUGGGGUUUUUCGUCCAAGUGCUACUGAAAUGCCAUUCGCACAUGGUCAACAGACUUCACCAUUUUCUCAGAUGGGCCAGCUAUUUCCUCAGGCUGCUAUGACUCAAGCAGGACCCACUGUGCAUGUUGAGCCACAGCAGGAAGAGCAGAUUUAUCAUUCUGACAGUGUGAUGGGGGACGACAAAGCAGUUAACUGGGAAGAGAGGUUCAGGGCUUUGGAAAAAGAGAUGAGUAACAUGCGUGGUAAAGAAGUAGUCGUCCAGAGUAUAUACGAUCUUUGCUUGGUACCAGAUGUGGAUAUACCCCCAAAAUUCAAGAUGCCUGUGUUUGAGAAAUACCAAGGGGACUCGUGUCCACAAAAUCAUCUAACUAUGUAUAUUACGAAGAUGAUAGCUUACAGGAACAACGUACCUUUGCUCAUUCAUUGCUUCCAGGACAGUUUGACCGGUCCUGCACAUACUUGGUUUAUGGGAUUGAAAGGCAUUACUACGUUUGAACAAUUGGCUGACGCUUUCAUGCAACAAUACAAAUAUUGUAACACCCCGUUUUCCCAACAUAAAAAUUUCGCAUAAAUAAUCAGAGUUUUUCAACAUAAACGGAAUGUCACAUUCUUUUCUUAAAAUCAUAAACUGAAUAAAUAACUAUUUAUCCUUUAAAAUUCAAAUACAAGAUCUUUAAUACUUCGCAGCGGAAUUUAUUUCAAUAACUAAAACAGUCUUUGGCACGAAGGCCUCUUCAUAAAUGUCUCAUAAAAAUCCAAUCUAAAAACAUAGUCAUAAAUCUUCAAAAACAAUACGUAAGGAAUAGAAAAGCAAUAACAAAGUUCUCAUCCCGUUACGUAUCAGAGCACCUAAGACACACGAGAAGGAAAGCUCACACGACAUCAACUAUUCUUGGUUACCUGUUAGUUACCCAUGGUGGGCAAACAGAAGGGGUGAGAUUUCACAAAUAAUAAUAUUAAGCAUAUAAUUCAUCAAUUACAUUUAACAACAUAAGCAUCAUCAAUCAUAUUUAACAACUCAUAGACAACAUCAUGUAAUCAUCAUAAUAUUCAUCAUAGAUAAUAAUAUAUCAUAAUUAACUUCUUUAAUAGUUCAUAUAAAGAAUCACAGCUUUAAACAAUUUCAUGAUUUAACAACUUAACAACUCGACAACUUGAUAACUUGACAACUUGACAACUUAACCUCUUGACUAUGCAACUUAAUCUUCUAAUCAUGCAUGUGGUACCAAUCUUUAAGCGUAAAUAGGCUCCCAGGGCAUCAAGCCCUCAACUUUAUUUGAGCCUAAAAAGGCUCCCAGGGCAUCAAGCCCUCAACUUAAUUGAGCAAAGGCUCCAGGGCAUCAAGCCCCCAACAAUGAAAUGCUAAUGCAUGGACUCGACCUCGUAAUAUCUUAAAUCGACAACCUCUUAUAUAAUCCAAUAAUUUGGAACUUCAUCAUCUUAAUCAACUUAGACCGACUCAUGCAGCUUAGUUAAAUAACAACAGCAACACAACAGUAUACAAAAACAGCAUGACAUAAUAAUAUCAAAUGCAAGUCAACAACGUCUCAAUUAUUCACAUAUAAUUCAAGUAAUGCAUAUACAAUUAUAUCACAAUAUAACAACAUCAAAUAAUAAUCAACAUCUUAAAACAUCAUAUAUACAUAUAACACUUCAUCAAUCAUGGACAAUAUCGUAUUCACAAACAUAUACAUACAUAUACUAAUUCAUCAAUCAUAAUCAAUUAUUCACUGUGACCUACGUUCAGUAAUUUGACAAUAACUCAAAUUCUAUAAAUCCUUUUGAAUUCAAACCAACGGCAUUAGAAAGCUAACAUUUAUACCUACAACUUUCGUGUUUACACCUAAGACCAAUUCUGUACCAAUCAAUACCAGUUUUCAUUUCAAAUUCGGACAAAGUUGUGCUGAAAUUCAUAAAAAUUCACGGUGACCUAUGUGCAGUAAUUUGACCUUAACUCAUAAACCAAAAUUCAUUUUCAAGUCAAACCGACGCCACUGGAAAGCUAACACAAUUAUCUACAACUUCCAUGUUUACACCAAAGGCUAAUUCAAAACAGAAACGUGUGAAAAAGACGCAAGAACAUGGAAAAAAGACAUGCUGUCACAGAGCAACUCGGGAAAAACACACUUUUCACCCCAAAAUCCCAAUUUUAACUUCCCUAUGCCCAAAUUUGAUGCCAAAGUUUGUCUAAAUAUUUAUAUACAUCAAAAGAGACUCAAAACCACAUAAAACUUGACCCAAAACAUUAUUUUAGAAAAUCAUCAAAUAAUCACUUUUAACCCUAAUUCCCAAAUUCUCAAAAACUAAAACCUACAACAUGUUAAAUCCAAUUUUUCAGAAUCAAUGACUUAAGAUUAUUGAAUGUUAGUCCCACCCUUACCUUAUAGAUGAAAAUCGCAGCACUCCUAGGUCUUCUCCCUCCUCUCGGCUUUUUCUCCAUUUUCUCCAAAAUUGAUCCUACGUUAUGUUUUUUCUAAAUUAGGUUUCUCCUAUUUAUAACCCUUUUUUCUAUUUUAUCUUAUUUCUCUUUCUCCCCCAAAACUCUCUAAAAUCUCAUAACAAACUCUCAACUCAAUCUUAUUUCUAUUUUCAAAUCUUAAUCUAUUAAAUAACAACAUAAGCCACUUAAUAAAUCACAUAAUCAAAUAAAUAUAUUUUAAACUCUUUUUAAUAAAUUUUAGACUCAAUUAAAUAAUUAAAUAAAUCAAAUAAUUCAAAGAGGGCGUUACAAAUACAACACGUAUCUGGCGCCUAGUCGCAAAGAGUUGCAGUCCUUGACCCAGAAGGACAAAGAAUCAUUCAAAGAGUAUGCACAACGCUUCAUCCAGAAGGCCUCCCAGAUUCGUCCGCCCUUGGAUGAAAGGGAAUUAUCUGAGAUGUUCUAUGAGACUCUGAGCCCUUGCUAUUCAGAGAAAAUGAUUGUUUGUGCAUCACAGAAAUUCACCGACCUGGUAGAGACGGGGAUACGUAUUGAGGAUUGGGCUCGUAAGGGAGCUGGUUCUUCAGGUGGUUCUGCAGGAAGUUCGUCUAAUGGUAACAAGAAGUUUGGUAAUGGUUACUCAAAAAGGAAUGCUCAAGAAGUCGGCAUGGUGGCCCAUGGCGGAUCUCAGCCUGUGUACCCUAAUCAUCCUUAUGUUGCUAACAUUACCCCACAAAUGACCGCUCCCCAGAACCCAAAUUAUCAACCACCAAGACCUCAAGGACCUUCACCAUACUAUCCACCACUAUAUCAACUACCAUACAACCCACAACAAUUCCCUCAACAACCAUACCAACAAAGGCCACAAUACCCCCCACAACAACAACCCCGUCCUCAAGCUCCCUACAAUCAGCAGAAUCAAAAACAACAAUUUGAUCUCAUACCAAUGACUUAUGGAGCAUUACUGCCUUCCUUGCUCGCGCAAAACCUGGUUCACACACUACCACCCCCUCGCAUUCCAGAUCCUCUCCCACGCUGGUACCGUCCUGAACUUCAUUGUGUUUAUCAUCAAGGGGCAGCAGGUCACGAUGUGGAACGUUGUUAUGCCCUCAAGAAAGAGGUCCAAAAACUGCUCAAUAGCAAAGAGUUAACUUUCGCCGACCCUGAUCAUGUUGCCCAAAACAAUCCUCUGCCUCCCCGUGGGCCUGUUGUUAAUAUGAUUCAAGACUGUCAGGAAGAUGCCUGCAUUCUCUACGCAUGUGACAUCAAGACCCCUUUGGUACCGAUACAUGUGAAAAUGUGUGAAGUAGCUCUCUUCAGUCACGAUCACGAGGCUUGUGAUGUGUGUUCGGUAGAUCCUCGUGGUUGCAUGCAAGUCCAAAAUGAUGUGCAAGGUCUCCUAGAUAAAAAGGAACUUGUGGUUACAAAGGAAAUCAAGAGCAAAAGUGUUUGUGUUGUCACCCCAAUAAUCAGAGCUAGGAGGCUGCUUGUGAUAAACCCUAACGGUGCAAAGCCCGCUGGCACUCCUCUGGUAAUCUGUGUCCCUAGGCCUGUACCUCCUUCCUCUCAGAAAGCCGUACCUUACAAAUAUGAAGGCACAAUUCUAGAACCCGGAAGUGAAACGACCUCAUCCUCUGUUGUGGACAAUAUUGCCGAGAGUAGUCAGAUUUUGAGAAGCGGCCGCGUUCUUCCUGCUGUGGUUCAGAAAAGCACUAAUAUUUCGGUCGAAGAAACAGUAAAGGAGCGGAACACAGGUAAAGGUAGAGUUGGAGAGCAUCCCAAAGAGAUUGACUAUGAGGAUGCUGAUGAAAUCUUAAAGCUGAUCAAGAGGAGCGAGUACAGGGUUGUGGACCAGUUGUUACAAACCCCUGCAAAGAUUUCCAUUAUGUCUCUGUUAUCAAGCUCUGGUGCUCACCGAGAUGCCCUGAAGAAAGUACUAGACCAGGCUUUUGUGGAUUAUGAUGUGACUUUGGGCCAGUUUGAAAGUAUUGUGGGGAAUGUGACCGCAUGUAACAGUCUGAGUUUCAGUGAUGAAGACCUCCCAGCGGAGGGGAAGAAGCACAAUCAGGCAUUACUCAUCUCUGUACUUUGCAGAACAGACUCCUUAUCCAAUGUUCUAAUAGACACCGGCUCUGCUCUUAAUGUGAUGCACAAAUCAACCCUUGAUCAAUUGACAUAUUCCGAGGCUCUCUUGAGGCCCAGUAAGGUGACGGUGAGGGCAUUUGAUGAGACCAGAAGAUCAGUAUAUGGUGAGAUAGAUUUGCCCAUCUCAGUAGGCCCACAUGAGUUUCAGGUUACUUUUCAAGUCAUGGAUAUCCAGGCUUCUUUCAGCUGUUUGCUUGGCAAACCAUGGAUUCAUGACGCUGGGGCAGUGACAUCCACUCUCCACCAGAAGCUGAAAUUUGUAAGCCAUGGAAAGCUCAUUACUGUGAGUGGCGAGUCAGCCUUUUUGAUCAGCAAUUUGUCUGCUUUCUCUGUUAUUGGUGGUAGUAGUUCAGACGAGUCAUCAUUCCAAGGGUUCUCUGCUGAAGGAAGUGUAGGUAAGAUUGAGACUUGUAUGGCUUCGUUGAAGGACGCACAGAGGGUAAUCCAGGAAAGCAAAACCGAAGGUUGGGGUCAGCUAGUGGAGUUACCAGAGAACAAGCGCAAGGAAGGGGUUGGUUUUCUUAACAGUAGGUCUGGGAUGUUUGACCCUACCGAAGGCUCUUUCUGCAGUGCAGGAUUCAUCCACGAUUCACCAGAGAUCAAUGCAAUUACCGAUGAUGCGCCUUGAGGAGUGGCACCUGUCUUUGUAACACCUGGAGGAGCCUGCUGCAACUGGAUUGCUGUAGACAUUCCUUCUGCGAUACCCCGUUCUAAGUAAUAUGUUUGCCUUGUUUGUUUUUUUUUUAAGAAAACUCCUUUCGUCCUGCCCAAGGCAAAAGUGAAUUCAUGUAGGGCUUUGUUUUUGCUUCCAUUACUUUUAUUAUGAAUGAAAAUCGCUGUUUCUGUCACAGCCUUUAUUACCUUACUUUUAUUUUUUUUUAUUUUUUAUUUUUUAUUUUUGGUGCUUUUUCUGGAAAAAAUGGUAAUAUAAAAAUCCAAAAAAAUCGUUCUCUUUUUCUUUUAAAUUUCAAAAUCAAAGUUCUGGAUUUGCUCAUUAAAAUCAAUCAUGAAUCAUGUGCAGACUGAACAUAAGCGAGCCCGUUGAACACAGUAACCCCAUGCUUCCUCCCAACUUUGAGGUCCCGGUUUACGAGGCUAUGGUAGAGGAGGAUGAGGAGAUUCCCGAUGAGAUUAAAUGGAUGUUGGAACAAGAAAGAAAGACAAUUCAGCCUCAUCAGGAAGAGAUAGAAAUCAUCAAUCUGGGUACUGAGGAAGACAAGAAAGAAAUUAAGAUCGGGGCAUUGUUGGAGGUAUCUGUUAAGGGAAGAGUAAUUGAGCUUCUCAGAGAAUAUGCCGAUAUAUUUGCAUGGUCAUACAAGGACAUGCCGGGUCUAGACCCUGAUGUUGUGGAACACAGACUGCCUUUGAAGCCUGAGUGUCCUCCGGUAAAGCAGAAAUUGAGAAGAUCUCAUCCCGAGAUGGCCCUCAAGAUCAAAGAGGAAGUGCGCAAACAGAUUGAUGCAGGUUUCCUGGUCACAUCAGAGUACCCUCAGUGGUUGGCCAACAUAGUGCCCGUUCCAAAGAAAGAUGGCAAAGUCAGAAUGUGUGUUGAUUACCGGGACUUGAACAAGGCUAGUCCGAAGGAUAAUUUCCCAUUACCUCACAUUGAUGUAUUGGUUGAUAACACUGCUAAAUGCAAGGUUUUCUCCUUCAUGGACGGUUUCUCCGGUUAUAAUCAGAUAAAGAUGGCUCCGGAAGAUAGAGAAAAGACGUCUUUCAUCACACCUUGGGGCGCUUACUGCUACUUAGUGAUGCCAUUUGGGUUGAUAAAUGCUGGUGCCACUUACCAAAGGGGCAUGACCAAAAUCUUUCAUGAUAUGAUUCACAAAGAAAUCGAGGUCUACGUAGAUGAUAUGAUUGUUAAGUCUGGCACAGAAGAAGAACAUGUUGAGUAUUUGUUGAAGAUGUUUCAGCAGUUGAGAAAGUACAAGCUCCGGUUGAAUCCUAACAAAUGUACUUUCGGUGUCAGAUCUGGUAAACUCCUAGGCUUUAUCGUCAGUCAAAAGGGUAUUGAAGUUGAUCCCGACAAGGUCAGAGCCAUCAGAGAAAUGCCUGUUCCAAAGACAGAGAAGCAAGUCAAAGGUUUUCUUGGUAGACUUAAUUAUAUCUCCAGAUUUAUCUCUCACAUGACUGCCACAUGUGGACCAAUUUUCAAGUUACUCCGCAAGGAUCAAGGGGUGAAGUGGAAUGUUGAUUGUCAGAAGGCUUUUGAUCAAAUCAAAGAAUAUCUAUUAGAACCUCCAAUUCUUGUUCCUCCAGUUGACGGAAGACCUUUGAUCAUGUAUUUAACAGUACUGGAAGAUUCCAUGGGCUGUGUGUUGGAUCAACAAGAUGAAACCGGAAAGAAAGAGCACGCUAUCUCCUAUUUGAGUAAGAAGUUCACUGAUUGUGAGUCCCGAUAUUCUAUACUUGAGAAAACUUGUUGUGCUUUAGCCUGGGCUGUCAAGCGUCUCAGUCAUUAACUUGGUUGAUAUCCAAGAUGGAUCCUAUCAAGUACAUAUUUGAGAAGCCAACUUUAACUGGAAGGAUUGCUCGAUGGCAGAUGUUAUUGUCCGAGUAUGAUAUUGUGUAUCGCACCCAGAAAGCAAUCAAAGGUAGCAUCUUGGCAGACCAUUUGGCCCAUCAACCAAUUGAAGACUAUCAACCAAUCAAGUUUGACUUCCCAGAUGAAGAGGUCAUGUAUCUAAAAGCGAAAGAUUGUGAUGAACCGGUGUUCGGUGAAGGUCCUGAUCCUGAAUCCGAAUGGGGUUUGAUUUUUGACGGGGCCGUUAAUGUCUAUGGUAGUGGAAUUGGUGCAGUCCUCAUUACCCCUAAGGGUACUCACAUCCCUUUUACUGCAAGGAUACGAUUUGAUUGUACAAACAAUAUCGCUGAAUAUGAAGCUUGCAUCAUGGGUAUCGAAGAAGCCAUCGAUUUGAGGAUUAAGAAAAUUGUCAUCUAUGGAGAUUCAGCUCUCGUGAUUAACCAGAUCAAAGGAGAAUGGGAAACUCGUCAUCCUGGAUUGAUCCCCUACAGAGAUUAUGCAAGACGAUUGCUGACUUUCUUCAACAAAGUAGAGCUACACCAUGUGCCCCGUGAUGAGAAUCAAAUGGCGGAUGCUUUAGCUACUCUAUCCUCAAUGAUCAAAGUGAAUGGUCAUAAUACUGUACCAGUAAUCAAUGUUCAAUUCCUCGACCGACCUGCUUAUGUGUUUGCGGCCGAAGCAGUUGAUGAUGACAAGCCAUGGUAUCAUGAUAUCCAAGUCUUCCUUCAAACUCAAAAAUACCCGCCUGGGGCAUCCAACAAAGACAAGAAGACCUUGAGAAAGUUGUCAAGCCGAUUCUUCCUCAACGAAGAUGUUUUGUAUAAGAGGAACUUUGAUGGGGUCCUACUCAGAUGCGUGAAUAAGCAUGAAGCAGAAGAGUUGAUGCAUGAGAUACAUGAAGGCUCUUUCGGUACUACUGGAUAACAAUGCACGCUGAUUGCUACAAUCAUGCCAAGAGAUGCCACAAAUGUCAAAUCUAUGCUGACAAGAUUCAUAUACCACCAUCUAUGCUCAAUGUCAUCUCUUCCCCGUGGCCCUUCUCUAUGUGGGGCAUUGACAUGAUUGGUCGGAUUGAACCAAAAGCUUCCAAUGGGCAUCGCUUCAUAUUAGUGGCUAUCGAUUAUUUCACCAAGUGGGUUGAAGCAGCAUCUUACGCCAAUGUGACCAAGCAGGUAGUGGUCAGAUUUAUCAUGAACAACAUCAUCAGCCGCUACGGUGUUCCCAACAGAAUCAUCACAGACAAUGGCACAAAUCUGAAUAACAACAUGAUGAAAGAGUUGUGCGAUGACUUCAAGAUUCAACAUCACAAUUCUUCUCCUUACAGACCACAGAUGAAUGGGGCAGUUGAAGCUACAAACAAGAACAUCAAGAAGAUCAUACAGAAGAUGGUAGUUACUUACAAGGACUGGCAUGAAAUGUUACCUUACGCUUUGUAUGGAUAUCGUACCUCAGUGCGAACCUCGACAGGGGCAACCCCUUUCUCUUUGGUAUAUGGUAUGGAGGCUGUACUACCUGUAGAGGUUGAGAUUCCUUCUUUAAGAGUCUUGAUGGAAGCUGAAUUGUCUGAAGCUGAAUGGUGCCAGAGCAAGUACGACCAGUUGAAUUUGAUUGAGGAAAAACGUAUGGUUGCUUUGUGUCAUGGACAGCUAUAUCAGUCAAGGAUGAAACAAGCAUUCGAUAAAGGAGUCCAUCCCCGUGAAUUCAAGGAAGGAGAUCUUGUGGUCAAAUGUAUCAAAUCCUUUCAACCAGAUCCUAGGGGCAAAUGGACGCCAAACUAUGAAGGUCCCUACGUGGUGAAGAGAGCGUUCUCUGGUGGUGCUUUAAUUCUUACAAAUAUGGAUGGAGAGGAGUUACCUCGUCCUGUGAAUUCUGAUGCAGUCAAGAAAUACUUUGUUUAAAUAUAUAAAAGAACAGCUCGGUAGGUCGAAAACCUGAAAGGGCGGCUUAAACCAAAAAUGAGCGUCUCGAUGGAUCGAAAACCCGAAAGGGCGGUCCAGGCAAAAAUUAGAGACAAAAAAAAAAAAAAAAAAAAAAAAAAAAGAAAUUAUCCUGAUAGAUCGAAAACCCGCAAGGGCGAUCUAUGCAAAAAUUAAGGAUCGAGACAAGUAACUGCAUCAGAUGAAACAUCACUCGCCCGAGACACCUUGACUGUCAGAAGUUCUCUAAUAUUGAAGCAUCCAAACUGUGGAAUUCAAAGUGGUUAAGAAGUAUAGCGGUUAUUGUGUUCAAUGUACCUGUCUCAUAUAAUUACCAUAUUCCAACUCUUUGUAAUCUGUGGUGCCAUGCCUUUGGCCGGUUACCAUUUCUAUUAAAUCAAUUUGAGCUUGUGCCUCUUUGUUGGAAUUCUUGUUUAUUCUAUGUGCAAAAAAAAUCUUUCUUUCGUUUUUAUUAUUAGUACUUGAAGCAAAAACUUUGAAAACCUUUCUAAGGAUUUUAUGUUUUCUUUCAAAAAAAAAACAAAAAACAAACAAAAAUGACAAACAUAUUAUCUUUAAAAACAGGUAUCACAUAAGUAUGUGUCAACAGUUGGUCCGAAACAAGCAGGUUCAACAAAGGAGAAAUAGUCAUUGCAAAAAAAGAAAAAAAAAGCGCCCUAGUGGAUCGAAAACCCGAAAGGGUGAUCCAGGUAAAAAUUAGGGGCAUACAAAAAGAGAAAAAGAAAAAUAUCUCCCCGGUGGAUCGAAAAUCCGAAAGGACGAUCCAGGCAAAAGUUAGGGAUUUCAAAAAUAUAUACAAAAGGCAAUGACUGUUCAAGCAUGAAAAUACGGUGUUGCAUUGGUGAAAUGGCGACUUCUACCCCAGUUUGUGAGGACGUACCCCAACAGUAUGUUUAAGGGCUAUACCCCAACAAUGGUUGAUUCAUCCCCCGUGACUUUAUCCCCAAUGAAGGUUUCGAGCGUUCGUAUAGUGAUGCCGGGCCAUUCUCCUUGUAGACCUGCCCAGUCCUGUCUCAAUAAUCUUACCAUUAUACCGUCAUAUGAGUCUCAUACAUAUUUAUUCAUUCAUUCAUGCAUACAUAGCACGCAUAUAAAUAUCAUCCAUACAUAGUUGCAUUUUUACCCAAUGGCUUAUUUCAAUAUCCUCAGAUAUCGCCCUAGUGUGUCUAACUCCAAAAUGUCAGCAAAUCAAACGUGUUCCAAAAUGGCAGGUCUCACCGGUAAUCAGUCUAUACAAUUCCCCAUUGUCUUCAGACAAAUUCUUUGUUCCCCUCAACUUUAUCUUUAUCAAGUCACUCCCUUGAUACCAAGCUUUACAAUGUCUUCACUUUUACCGUAUGUUUGCUAUCCCACAAUGUUAGCAAACCUUGUCGGUCCGUCUUGUCUUUACUUUCGCCACUCGUCGGCAAUCAUGUCUUUACUUUCGCCACUCGUCGGCCAAUCAUGUCUUUACUUUCGCCACUCGUCGGCAAAUCAUGUCUUUACUUUCGCCGCUCGUCGGCCAAUCAUGUCUUUACUUUCGCCACUCGUCGGCAAAUCAUGUCUUUACUUUCGCCACUCGUCGGCUAAUCAUGUCUUUACUUUCGCCACUCAUCGGCUAAUCAUGUCCUUACCUUUACCUUGAAGCAAUAUUAACCAACAUUAUCAUUUAUACUCCAAUCGUUUCAAGCUAUCUCACAGCAAUCAUAAGCAUUACCUAUCAUUUCUUACCCCAGUGAUACCUACCCAAUUGUCCCCUAGUCUGUCUUUAUGCAUCAUCUUUACAUUCAUGCUUGCAUCAUGUUCAGUCAUAUCAUCACAUUCAUCAGCAUCACAUCUCUGACAUUUCAAACGGUCCAAAUUGGUGUUUUAUUUAUAUUUAAGUCUCUUCGACCCUUUGGUUUAAAAGUGUUCCCUUUUAAAACCUUCGUGACGAAGAAACUUAAAUAGGGGCAUCUGUUAUACCCCAAAUUUGGACCGUUUAAAAUCUUUUUAUCCGUAUUUUAAAAUAGUCCACUUUCUCUUUUAUUCGUCUUUAAUCAUUAAAAAAAAAACUUUCAUCUUGCAUUUAAGUCUCCGCUCGCAUUUUUACAACAGUUAAAAUCAAUUCAUCUGCUUUUUUAUAACUCUUAGACGCAUUUUAUAUUUAAAAGUUUUUUUAGUCGUAACAGUCAAGUCAUGUUAAAAGGUCUAAUCGUAUUUUAAAAGUCGUGUCUUUUUAAUCAUUUCAGGCAAAAUUUCGACAGAGAGAUUACUUUGAAGUACCUCAUUUGGUUUUCGAAAGAGGCAAUUUUACUUUUUAUUAUUUCAUUUAUUUGAUCUUUAUUAUUAUUUAAUGCUAUCAUUUGUUUGAUCUUUAUUAUUAUUUAAUGCUAUUUAUUUACAUUCUUUUUAUUUUAUACUUUUUAUAUUGUUUCCAUUUUUUCAUUCAUGUAAUGUCACGUUUUUUCUUCUUCUUUCUUUAAAAUAAUAUUCCUUUUGUUUUGUUUUUAAUGUCCCAAUUUAAUCCUGUCCACAUGUCACAUGCUCAUUGGUCCUUUAAACCAAAACCCUAUUUUAUAGUGGUAUAAAUACCACUGCAUUUAUUGCAGUCAAAAUCAGUCAGAGAGAAUCACUGUAGCAGCCGCAGCAAUCACCAUCAGAAACCCUAAUCUUUCAUCUCUCUCAACUUUUUCAGAUCAAAAAUAAAAAAUACACAAUAAUCAUCAUGAAUGUUCAUAGCUGUUCAUCAUGAACAUUAACCUCUUCCAUUCCAGGAACCAAAAUUCUUCAUAAUACUAAACCAACAAAAACACUUUCUCACGAAAUCAUCAUAAAACAAGUCACAUAACAUCACAAAUUCGGCCAUAAGAUCUCAACACCACACAAUUCGAAAUCGAAAUUCAUCACCAUACACUAACAGAGACGAACCAAACUCGUCAUCAUCAUCAACGUAAGCAGUACAAAGCCGAAAUCGUGAAGAAACAGAAGAAGAGAGAAGCAAACUGGACAGGAUUCAUGGAUUUCGAAGGAAGCAGAGCUAGGUCGAAGUUGAUUUGAAGUUUUCCGUCGUAUUUCUAGCGUUAAUCUCCGAAUAUAACAGAGGUAAUACGUUCUUCUUCCUCUUUCCUUCCGAUCUGCUUGGUUCGUGUUUGUUUGAAAACAUUUGUGAAAAGUUUUUGUUGAUGAAGCUUUUUCUAGAUCUAGUGUUUAUGUGAUUUGUUUUCAAAACUUUGAGUGUGGAUUCGUUUAGAGAAGAGAAAGAGGAGCAGUUUGGAGUAUUUGUUUUCGAAAAAGAAGUAAAAAAAAACUCCGGCGCGGCGGCGGCAUGGACAACCACCGCACCGGAGGAACUCCGGC